AGAGAUUAGAGCAAAUGUAGACAGGCACCCUAAAGGGCACCUUUUGGGUCUUCCUGGUGAACUUGUCAUUUGACCAGAGGAGCCAGUGUUUGGUCACAUUUACUGAUGCCUGUGUCUAUGUGUUUUCAGAGCUGCAGGAAAUUGAAAAAGAAAAUUGUGGAGAGUGUCAGUGAAGGGAGGGAGGGAAGAGGUGGAGGACGACAGGUUUUCUGGGACACAGUACACGGAAAUGAACUAGCCUUGCAUGACCUGCUCUCAACCACAAGGAUGCACAGGGAGGAGGAGCAACAGCGGGAAAAAACUGACACCAGACCAGUACCGAAUGACCUGCGGACCUGCACCGAUCCCCGGACCGGAGGUUGAGGACUCCUGAUUUAAAGGACUUGACAGCCACUCUGGCUUCUUUAAAGGCUUCUGUCACAGACAACAGUGCCGUUUCAAUGGAGUACCUGGUUUUAGAGCUGGAUUGGUUAGAGUCAAGGAGGAGGGGUUUUGAGAAAGAAAUUCCGUUACCUUUACCAGUCAGACUCGGCUCCUUCCAGUCCAUCAAAGUCCCUUUUUAGAGGCGGGUUUUUAAGGAAACCUUGAGGUGGAUGAAGCUCGGCACUUAUGUUGCUGUGGAGACCAUGUGGACUGGUCGUCAGGUCAGAUUGAGAGUAAUAGCUUUAGAGGCUAUGACACAUUUUUAUACCAUUUUCGAAACAGACCUUCAGAUAUUGUGGUAAUUUAUUCACCUGAGGGAAAAUAUAACGUAUGUAUGGAUGAAGAUGAUGAAUAUAAAAUGAGUUCAAAGCAACAGCAAUGCCAAUUCUAGUUGAACGAUUGUGUCAGCAGUAAAUAUACUAGAAUGAGUUACACAGGGGUGUCAAACAUACAGCCCGCGGGCCAAAAGCGGCCCAUUAUGGGGGUUCAAUCUGGCCCACUUAAUGAAUUUUGACACUUUGUGUUGGUGAUGUUUUGUCAAAUUAUAUUUCACUAAAUAUGAAUUUUCUUUGCUUAUUUGCAGAGAAAACAAGGGGAUCGGGGUGGACUCAUUGUUAUUUAUAGGUAAUUAUUGGGGAUGUCCGAUAUUAACUUUUUGCCGAUAUCCGAUAUGCCGAUAUUGUUCAAACACCUAAUUUCCGAUACCGAUAUAACCAAUACCGAUAUAGAUCUGUUAAAAUUUAUUUUUAUAUUUGUACAAACCACUGUAUGAGUAUGAGAUUAAGUGCUGCCAUCUAGUGACGAUCACUUUAAUACACAGCCGUUUGUCUGGCGAUUCUUACAUAUCGGGCGGAUAAUAUUGGACAUCCCUAGUCAUUAUGUUAUGAUUGUACUGGUCCGGUCCACUUGAAACCUAAUCUGGGCCGUAUGUGGAACAAAAAUGAGUUUUUACACUCCGAGUUACAUGAUCAUCAUCAUCAUCAUCAUCUGCAUCAUCUUGUUCUAGUGUGUUCUUAGAUAAAACAUCACAAAGUAGCGCCAUAAACAUUUACUCUUGCAAAGGAGUGGUUUAAUAUUCUAUGAUAAGACAAGGACCAACUAGCAUUAGUACUGUCUCCAGGGCAAAACUGCAUAAAAUACAUUCUAUAAAUCUAGAGUACUAUGUUUGUCUACAAAUGAAUGGUCACAGUGCUGCCUUUUGCUGACCACUGAACAAAGGUCACAGCGCAGCACUGUUAUUCACCACUAUAAACAGUCCAUGCUCAGCACCCAAAGGCCAAGUUGCACCAGCAGAGUUGUCUGGAACCCUGUGAGGCAGGUGCACACUGAUUUGAUGGGCUGCAAGGUUGGGACAGUGACCAGGCAGAUACUUCCAAAGGCUGUGAAGUUGGCUCACUUCCUAUCCUUCAGCCAAUCCCAGGAAAAAUAAAAAAAGGAAUCACGCCUCUGGCAGGUUUUAUACAGGCUGAGCAUCGCUGAUCGAAUAACCAAAUAAAAAUCUACAUCAGUGGACCAAAGACUAACAGAGCAGAGGUGACAGCCGGUGUUAGCGGGCUGAGACGACAGUGUUGUGUUUCACCCACUACGCUCCCCGUGUUCUUGACCGUGUUAUUUUUGUGAUCGCUGCUUUGUGAGUGCCAGAGCAUUCGUACGUAGAAGGAAGGACGUAAAUAGCAGUGCCAAAAACAUCCAUCACUGUACUGAUGACAACUGUAAAGAGAUCCCCCCCCCUCCACCCCGCUGUAAUAAAGGCUAUUGGUUGGAUUCUAUUAAUCACACCAGAUCAAAAUCAAUACAAGAGCCAAUAGGAAAAUAAUCUGAGGGAAUAUAUCACCUAUGAAAAGGUUGUCGCAGUGGAAUUAAAGUCACAUAAUCAGCAGACAGCGCAUUAAACCAAAAUGUUUUUUUGUUUGUUUUUUUUUUUACUACAAAUGACGUCCCUUUGUUCAUUGAUUUCAAGUGUAUUCACCGGACAGAAUCAACAGGACAUACAGCAGAUUAGACACUGCUGUCUGUCAAAUAAGAGUUGAUUAAUGUUCAUUCUCAAGGCAGAUCAGAAUUUUCAACAUGCAUGGAAAUGUUGUGUGAAGAUCUAUCGUAUGAGACCCAUUUGUAAGAGAUGGUGAUGCGUAAUGGCUUUUGUCAUCCAACUGUGACAAACAAAAAUAGAGGACUCCUCUGUUGACACCUUUCAAUGCUUUCUGCACAUUUUUAUUUCUAUAUGUUCAGUACAUGUGUUCAGGCUCAGCAGGACUUAGUAUCCUCCACAUGUAACAUCGAUUUCACUUUGUAUCUUUUUUUUUGUGAACUGUCUCUUGGAACUUUGGAUAAUUUUUUGCCAAUUUAAUUGUUCAGUAUAUAUUUUUUUACCUUUUGGUCCUGCUGUAUAAUUUGGUUUUUGCAAAUGUAUCGUUUUCAUAAAACUACUGAAUUAAAAAAUUAAAAAUAACCCCCUGCUGGACACAUUUAAUACAGCAGUAGCAUCACCUGUGUCAAAUCCAAAAUAAGGCCAAAGCCCAAUUUUUAACAUUUUUUGCAUAAAUUUCCUUCCCCUUUGCUCUUUGCGUUUUAUUUAAUAUUUAAUAUCUAAAUUAAUAACCACCCAUUCAUAGUUAACGGGCAAAUAUAACCACACAUGCAUUUUGCUACUUGAGUGAAAACAUGUCGCAUAUACAUAUCUAAUGAUUGAAAUUACUUUUGUUUGAUUGUUUUUUUCUAACUCCAGCAUACUUUUUCUUUGAACAUAAAACCUACUUUUUUGUAAUUCUACAUUCCUUAAGGUUGCCGCAUGACGGAUGCAGCACGUGCUCUCUGUUUUUGUGUCCUGUCAGCUGUUCUUUAUCGUUCUAUAGUUGUCAACGUGCGUUGUGCUUUUAUUGUGAAAAGGUAUUUCCGGCCCGGGAAAUGACUACAUCUCUCUUGACCAAACCGCUGCACUGGACCUGGACGGAGCUGCUUUUUCCCCCCCUUUGGCAGCGGUUUGCAGUCAGUGUGUUUUCUACCUGUCCGCUUCCACUGCUGCUAAGAAAGGACGCGAAUUGAGUCAAAAACACAGGAAACCGGUAAGAAAAGCAGCUUCUUCUUUUAAACUGUCGCAAGUGAGGGAGGGUUUGACAGUGGGGACAAAGUUUGGAUUCUGGCUGCGCCUAGAGCUGUGUGAUGCGAUUGGUUUUUGUUUUUGGGUGUUUUUUUUUGUAAUAUAAAUAAAUAAAUCGUUUUUUUGUUGAAUUGUUAGUAGGAAGUUAAUCGUCAUGCAUGUAUUUCUUGUUAAAUUAACUGGACAAUCAUUGGUGACGGAAUAUCUGAAAAAAAUGACUCAUUAAAAUGCAUACGGUAGAACCUGCGCAGUAAAUAAAUGAGGUAAAAACAAUGUAAUAAUGUCAAUGCAGAAUUCAUUUUGACUUUUUGUUUCUUAAGAAGUUAUUUAUCGUCUGCAGUCACCUGCUAAUUGAUUUUGGAAUCACUUCCUUCUCUCGUGUCCAUCUCCUAACCGCAUCUUACUUAAUAGUGUUUUCCUUUAAAAUAGUCGAUACGUUCUUCUCUGAGUUGCAGCCCUUUUAAUAUGACAUUUUAUAUAUGAGAUAAAAAUAUUCAAACUCUUAUUCCUUUAAAGAAAGCAAAAAUCAAUCAGGUGGAUAGAGUUUCCUUGAAUUAGAAUAUUGUGUUUUUGUUGCGACUUAAUACAGCCUCUGUCUACUGUCUCCUGUGUAGUAUUUUGUAGGAAUUGGUACUAUUUAAGACGUCCUAGUGGGUUUUUGCUGACUUUGACAAAAAAAAAAUAUAUGUACUGUGUAAACUUGUUUGUUACGAGCGUCAGAGUUGAAGUAUAUGGACAACUCCCUGUGUGUAUGCGUGUGCGUC